rnacentral:rRNA from 1 species
CAGGUCUUGACAUCCUCUGACACUCCUAGAGAUAGGACGUUCCCCUUCGGGGGACAGAGUGACAGGUGGUGCAUGGUUGUCGUCAGCUCGUGUCGUGAGAUGUUGGGUUAAGUCCCGCAACGAGCGCAACCCUUGAUCUUAGUUGCCAGCAUUCAGUUGGGCACUCUAAGGUGACUGCCGGUGACAAACCGGAGGAAGGUGGGGAUGACGUCAAAUCAUCAUGCCCCUUAUGACCUGGGCUACACACGUGCUACAAUGGAUGGUACAAAGGGCUGCAAAACCGCGAGGUCGAGCCAAUCCCAUAAAACCAUUCUCAGUUCGGAUUGUAGGCUGCAACUCGCCUACAUGAAGCUGGAAUCGCUAGUAAUCGUGGAUCAGCAUGCCACGGUGAAUACGUUCCC